UUGCACGCUGGCGGCAUGCUUUACCCAUGCAAGUCGCACGGCAGCGCGGGCUUCGGCCUGGCGGCGAGUGGCGAACGGGUGAGUAAUGCAUCGGAACGUGCCCAGUAGUGGGGGAUAGCCCGGCGAAAGCCGGAUUAAUACCGCAUACGACCUGAGGGUGAAAGCGGGGGACCGAAAGGCCUCGCGCUAUUGGUGCGGCCGAUGUCGGAUUAGCUAGUUGGUGGGGUAAAGGCUUACCAAGGCGACGAUCCGUAGCUGGUCUGAGAGGACGACCAGCCACACUGGGACUGAGACACGGCCCAGACUCCUACGGGAGGCAGCAGUGGGGAAUUUUGGACAAUGGGGGCAACCCUGAUCCAGCCAUGCCGCGUGCGGGAAGAAGGCCUUCGGGUUGUAAACCGCUUUUGUUCGGGAAGAAAUCCUCUGGGCUAAUACCCCGGGGGGAUGACGGUACCGGAAGAAUAAGCACCGGCUAACUACGUG
rnacentral:rRNA from 1 species